AGUGAACGCUGGCGGUAGGCCUAACACAUGCAAGUCGAACGGCAGCACAGUAAGAGCUUGCUCUUACGGGUGGCGAGUGGCGGACGGGUGAGGAAUACAUCGGAAUCUACUUUUUCGUGGGGGAUAACGUAGGGAAACUUACGCUAAUACCGCAUACGACCUACGGGUGAAAGCAUGGGAUCUUCUGACCUUGCGCGAUUGAAUGCGCCGAUGUCGGAUUAGCUAGUUGGCGGGUUAAAGGCCCACCAAGGCGACGAUCCGUAGCUGGUCUGAGAGGAUGAUAAGCCACACUGGAACUGAGACAGCGUCCAGGCGCCUACGGGAGGGAGCAGAGGGGAAUAUUGGACAAUGGGCGGAAGCAUGAUACAGCCAUACCGCGUGGGUGAAGAAGGCCUUCGGGUUGUAAAGCCCUUUUGUUGGGAAAAAAAAGCAGCAGGUUAAUACCCCGCGGGUCUGACGGUACCCAAAAAAUAAGCACCGGCUAACUUCGUG
rnacentral:rRNA from 1 species